CCUACGGGAGGCAGCAGUGAGGAAUAUUGGUCAAUGGCCGCAGGGCUGAACCAGCCAAGUCGCGUGAGGGAUGACGGUCCUAUGGAUUGUAAACCUCUUUUGUCAGGGAGCAAAGGGCGCCACGUGUGGCGCUUUGCGAGUACCUGAAGAAAAAGCAUCGGCUAACUCCGUGCCAGCAGCCGCGGUAAUACGGAGGAUGCGAGCGUUAUCCGGAUUUAUUGGGGUUAAAGGGUGCGCAGGCGGAAUGUCAAGUCAGCGGUAAAAUUUCGGGGCUAAACCCCGUCGUGCCGUUGAAACUGGCGUUCUUGAGUGAGCGAGAAGUAGGCGGAAUGCUUGGUGUAGCGGUGAAAUGCAUAGAGAUCACGCAGAACUCCGAUUGCGAAGGCAGCAUACCGGCGCUCAACUGACGCUCAUGCACGAAAGCGUGGGUAUCGAACAGGAUUAGAUACCCUAGUAGUC
rnacentral:rRNA from 1 species